AUGCAAGUCGAGCGCGAAAGCGGCUUCGGCCGUUAGUAGAGCGGCGGACGGGUGAGGAACACGUGGGUAACCUAUCCUCGGGUGGGGAACAACCCAGGGAAACCUGGGCUAAUUCCGCAUAACAUCCUUAGCUCACAAGAGUUUUGGAUCAAAGCUGGGGACCCUUCGGGGCCUGGCGCCAGAGGAGGGGCCCGCGGCCGAUUAGCUUGUUGGUGAGGUAACGGCUCACCAAGGCUUCGAUCGGUAGCCGGCCUAAGAGGGCGGACGGCCACACUGGGACUGAGAUACGGCCCAGACUCCUACGGGAGGCAGCAGUGGGGAAUUUUUGUCAAUGGGGGAAACCCUGAACAAGCAACGCCGCGUGGAGGACGAAGACCUUCGGGUCGUAAACUCCUGUCGGAGGGGACGAAACCGAUUAUGGUUAAUACCCGUAGUCAUUGACGGUACCCUUAGAGGAAGCCCCGGCUAACUCCGUGCCAGCAGCCGCGGUAAUACGGGGGGGGCAAGCGUUGUUCGGAAUUACUGGGCGUAAAGGGCGUGUAGGCGGUCCUACAAGUCUUUCGUGAAAUCCCACAGCUCAACUGUGGAACUGCGAGGGAAACUGCAGGACUUGAGUCCGG
rnacentral:rRNA from 1 species